GCUGGGUGCGGUGGUGCACGCCUGUCAUCCCAGUGACUCGGGAGGCUGAGGCAGGAGGAUCUCGAGUUCAAAGCCAGCCUCAGCCACAGUGAGGCCCUAAGCAACUCAGUGAGACCCUGUCUCUA
rnacentral:sRNA from 1 species